GACGGAGGGUGCAAGCGUUGUGCGGAGUGACUGGGCGUAAAGGGCGUGUAGGCGGUUGGUCAAGUCCGAUGUGAAAGCCCGGGGCUCAGCUUCGGAAGUGCAUCGGAAACUAGCCAGCUGGAGCGCGAUAGAGGAGGGCGGAAUUCCUGGUGUAGCGGUGAAAUGCGUAGAUAUCAGGAGGAACACCGGCGGCGAAGGCGGCCCUCUGGAUCGUUGCUGACGCUGAGACGCGAAAGCGUGGGGAGCAAACAGG
rnacentral:rRNA from 1 species